rnacentral:lncRNA from 1 species
AUGGCAACUCUCAAGGACCAAUUGAUCAUGAAUCUUAAGGAAGAAUAGCCACCACCCUGCUCCCCCCCCAACAAGAUUAUACAUAUAUUGUUGGGGUCUACGCUGUUGGCAUGCCUUGUGCCAUCAGUAUCUUAAUGAAGGAUUUGGCAGGUGAGCUUGCCCUCGUUGAUGUCAUGGAAGACAAAAUAAAGAGAGAGAUGAUGGAUGUCCAACUUUGCAGCCUUUUUGCAGAACACGGAAAAUAGACUCUUGCAAAGACUUUAAUGUGACUGCAAACUCCAAGUGGUCAUUGUCACAAUAUGGAUGGGGGUGGAGAGGUAGGGGUAUGGGGGGCUAAGGGUGAGAGUAAGCAUGGGGGAUGGGGCAUCAGAAUAAGGGAGAGAGCCAGCUCAACUUGGUCCAACAAAACAUGAACCUCUUCAAGUUCUUCAUUGCCAACGUUGUGAACUACAAUCCAAACUGCAAGCUGCUUGUAGCUUCAAACCCAGGGUAUUUCUUGACUUAUGUGGCUUGGAAAAUAAGUGCCUUUCCUUAAAACUGAGUUAUCAGAAGUGGUCACAGUCGGAAUUCAGCUGGGUCCCAUUACCUGAUGGGACAAAGGCUGGAAGUUCAUCCGGUGGGCUGUUAUGGAUGAGUUCUAGGGAAACAUGGACCCUCUGCUGUGCCUGCGUGGAGUGGCAUGAAUGUUGCCUGUGUCUCCCUGGACUCGGCAUUGCUGCAGACAAGGAGCAGUGGAAGGAGUGGGCACAAACAGGUGGCUGACAGUGCCUAUGAGGCGAUCAAACUGAAAGGUUAUGUAUGUGCUGGGCCACUGGACUCUCUGUAGCAGACUUGGCCAAGAGCAAAAGGAAGAAUCCUAGACAGGUGCCUUCUAUUUCCACCAUGAUUAAGGGUCUCUAUGGAGUAAAGAAUGCGGUCUUUCUCAGCGCCCUCUAUCCUAGGACUAAAUGGAAUCUUGGAUGUUGUGAUGGUGACUCCUGAAGAGGAGGCCCACCUGAAGAAGAGUGAAGCUAUGCUCUGGGGGAUC